UCUCAAGUGGAGUCUUGACGUGUGUGCAUAUAUAGGAUUUUAAUAUGUAUAUCGUUUGCAAAUUCGAUCCCUUCUAUGUUGGACCUUGCCCACCCGGCUGCCUAGUGCCAGCAGGAGGCUGUGCCAGCUGUCGUAAUUGCUGUGGAGGCUGCUGUGGUGGCGGUUGCUGCUAAGCGAUCAUUAUAGCGAGAUUAUAGCGAGAUUAUUUUUGCAAAUUGCCCUUUUAUGCUAUCUUUGAUGGAGACGCACGUGACAAGUAAACGUAACUCUGGACAAGGCUGAAGAUAUGUGUGUCUAUUUUAACAUCUGCCUAAAUGUUCAAUUUAAAUUCUCAGUAUUAAAUAUGUUAUAAAUUUA